GGUUGCGAUCAUACCAGCACUAAUGCACCUGAUCCCAUCAGAACUCCGCAGUUAAGCGUGCUUGGGCGAGAGUAGUACUAGGAUGGGUGACCCCCUGGGAAGUCCUCGUGUUGCAACCC
rnacentral:rRNA from 1 species